AAUAGAUACCCUGGUAGUCCAUGCCGUAAACGUUGGGCACUAGGUGUGGGGCUCAUUCCACGAGUUCCGUGCCGCAGCAAACGCAUUAAGUGCCCCGCCUGGGGAGUACGGCCGCAAGGCUAAAACUCAAAGGAAUUGACGGGGGCCCGCACAAGCGGCGGAGCAUGCGGAUUAAUUCGAUGCAACGCGAAGAACCUUACCAAGGCUUGACAUGCACGGGAAGCCACCAGAGAUGGUGGUCUCUUUGGACACUCGUGCACAGGUGGUGCAUGGUUGUCGUCAGCUCGUGUCGUGAGAUGUUGGGUUAAGUCCGCAACGAGCGCAACCCUCGUCCCAUGUUGCCAGCGGGUUAUGCCGGGGACUCAUGGGAGACUGCCGGGGUCAACUCGGAGGAAGGUGGGGAUGACGUCAAAUCAUCAUGCCCCUUAUGUCUUGGGCUUCACGCAUGCUACAAUGGCCGGUACAAAGGGCUGCGAUGCGUAAGGUGGAGCGAAUCCAAAAGCCGGUCUCAGUUCGGAUUGGGGU
rnacentral:rRNA from 1 species